CUACAAUGGCAGAUACAAUAGGUUGACGGAAACCGCGAGGUGGAGCCAAUCCUCAAAGUCCUGUACUCAGUUCAGAUUGUAGGCUGCAACUCGCCUGCAUGAAGUUGGAGUUGCUAGUAAACGCAGGUCAGCUAUACUGCGUUGAAUACGUUCCCGGGGUUU
rnacentral:rRNA from 1 species